rnacentral:rRNA from 1 species
AGAGUUUGAUUAUGGCUCAGGAUGAACGCUGGCGGCGUGCCUAACACAUGCAAGUCGAGCGAAGCGCUUAGAUUGGAUUCUUCGGAUGAAGAUCUUUGUGACUGAGCGGCGGACGGGUGAGUAACGCGUGGGCAACCUGCCUUACACAGGGGGAUAACAGUUAGAAAUGACUGCUAAUACCGCAUAAGACCGCAGUGCCGCAUGGUACAGCGGUAAAAACUCCGGUGGUGUAAGAUGGGCCCGCGUCUGAUUAGGUAGUUGGUGGGGUAACGGCCUACCAAGCCGACGAUCAGUAGCCGACCUGAGAGGGUGACCGGCCACAUUGGGACUGAGACACGGCCCAGACUCCUACGGGAGGCAGCAGUGGGGAAUAUUGCACAAUGGGGGAAACCCUGAUGCAGCGACGCCGCGUGAGCGAUGAAGUAUUUCGGUAUGUAAAGCUCUAUCAGCAGGGAAGAAAAUGACGGUACCUGACUAAGAAGCCCCGGCUAACUACGUGCCAGCAGCCGCGGUAAUACGUAGGGGGCAAGCGUUAUCCGGAUUUACUGGGUGUAAAGGGAGCGUAGACGGCUGUGCAAGCAAGAUGUGAAAGCCCGGGGCUCAACCCCGGGACUGCAUUUGGAACUGCGUGGC